rnacentral:rRNA from 1 species
GACGAACGCUGGCGGCGUGCUUAACACAUGCAAGUCGAGCGGAAAGGCCCACUUGUGGGUACUCGAGCGGCGAACGGGUGAGUAUCACGUGAGUAAUCUGCCCUUCACUUCGGGAUAGCCUUGGGAAACUGAGAUUAAUACCGGAUAGGACUCUUGCCUGCAUGGGUGGGGGUGGAAAGUUUUUUCGGUGGAGGAUGUGCUCGCGGCCUAUCAGCUUGAUGGUGGGGUAAUGGCCUACCAUGGCUUUGACGGGUAGCCGGCCUGAGAGGGUGUUCGGCCACACUGGGACUGAGAUACGGCCCAGACUCCUACGGGAGGCAGCAGUGGGGAAUAUUGCACAAUGGGCGCAAGCCUGACGCAGCGACGCCGCGUGGGGGAUGAAGGUCUUCGGAUUGUAAAGCUCUUUCAGUGGGGAAGAUAAUGACUGUACCCACAGAAGAAGCCCCGGCUAACUCCGUG